UGGGAACGUGCCUUUUGGUUCGGAACAACCCAGGGAAACUUGGGCUAAUACCGGAUAAGCCCUUACGGGGAAAGAUUUAUCGCCAAAAGAUCGGCCCGCGUCCGAUUAGCUAGUUGGUGGGGUAAUGGCCCACCAAGGCUACGAUCAGUAGCUGGUCUGAGAGGAUGAUCAGCCACAUUGGGACUGAGACACGGCCCAGACUCCUACGGGAGGCAG
rnacentral:rRNA from 1 species